AUGAUUUUUAAAGCUCUUCAUAAAAAUAAAAUUGCUCGUUCCAACUUCAUGGAAAUAAUGUCCAUUGCCAUUGAUGGCAAGAAAUACAUUGAGGAGUUGGAAUCUCAUCUAGAGGAGCAUGAGGCCACCAUUGAGAAAAUGGAAGCUCAUGGGCGUGAUUACGCAAAUGAGAUCGUGAUUAAAGCUCUUGAACAUGAACAAACCACCUCCGAAUCUCUUGAGGAGACUUUUGCUCUAGAAUUAUCUAGAGUGAGGGAAUCUCAUGAUAGAGCUCUUGAGGUGGCCAAUGAUUUCAAAACUAAAAAUGCUAAGCUUGAGGUUUCUCAUGCUAGACUCCUUGAGGAUUUUGAGCACCUCGAAAAUGGCUCAAGUCUCAUCAAGGGUGAGCUCAUCAAACUCACCGAGUCUCAUGCCCAACUUGAAGCUUCUUAUUUAAAAGAGCUUGCCAAGUUGUCCUCUCAUAUUGUUGUAAAUGAUGAUGCUUGUUCUACUAACUCUAUUACUUGUGAAGCAUCCAUUUUGAAGGAGAAUGUUGAGCUACGGGCUCAACUUGAGGUGCUAUCUAGCAAUUAUGGGAAAUUGGAAGAAAGUCAUGAAAAGAUCUCAAGCUCUCAUGAUGAUCUUCUAGUAUCCCAUAGUGUGCUAAAGAUAGCUCAUGAGGCCAUGAUUGCUAAGGUAACAUCUAGUGAGCCUCAUGUGGAUACUAGCACUACUUCUAAUCAAAAUAGUAUAUUGCCAUGUGCUAGUCCUUGUAAUUCAUCUAUUCACAAUGUUGGUACAUCUUGUGAUGAAUUGCUUUCCUUGCCUUGUUGCUCUAACGAUGAAGCUUAUACUUCCUCUAGUACUUGUGUUGAGACUAACCAUGUAGAGGAAAUCAAAAAGCUCAAGGCCCAAGUCACUUCUUUGAAGAAAGACUUGGAAAAGAGUCAUCAAGGAAAAUUCACACUCAACAAUAUCUUGAGUGUGCAAAAAUCCCCCAAUGACAAAGGUGGACUUGGAUUCAACUCCAACAAGAAGAAGAAGUCCAAGAUCAACAAGAAGAAGGGCAAAAAAACAAGUCAAGAAUUCGGCAAAGAUUAUUUGCUUCAAGUGCAAAAUUGA
rnacentral:rRNA from 1 species